rnacentral:rRNA from 1 species
GACGGGGGGGGGCAAGUGUUCUUCGGAAUGACUGGGCGUAAAGGGCACGUAGGCGGUGAAUCGGGUUGAAAGUGAAAGUCGCCAAAAAGUGGCGGAAUGCUCUCGAAACCAAUUCACUUGAGUGAGACAGAGGAGAGUGGAAUUUCGUGUGUAGGGGUGAAAUCCGUAAAUAUACGAAGGAACGCCAAAAGCGAAGGCAGCUCUCUGGGUCCCUACCGACGCUGGGGUGCGAAAGCAUGGGGGGCGAACAGG